rnacentral:rRNA from 1 species
GACGAACGCUGGCGGCGUGCUUAACACAUGCAAGUCGAACGAUGAAGAAAAGACUUGAAGCUUCGGCAGAAAUUCAUUUCGGAUUAGUGGCAGACGGGUGAGUAACGCGUGAGCAACCUACCUCUUACAAAGGGAUAGCCUCGGGAAACCGGGAUUAAUACCAUAUAACAUUGCGACGAAGCAUUUCGAUGCAAUCAAAGCUGCGGCGGUAAGAGAUGGGCUCGCGUCCCAUUAACCAGAUGGUGAGGUAACGGCUCACCAUAGUAACGAUGGGUAACCGGUCUGAGAGGGUGAACGGUCACACUGGAACUGAGACACGGGCCAGACUCCUACGGGAGGCAGCAGUGGGGAAUAUUGCACAAUGGAGGAAACUCUGAUGCAGCGACGCCGCGUGAGUGAUGAAGGAAUUCGUUUCGUAAAACUCUGUUCUAUGGGAAGAAAAGGACUGUACCAUAGGAGAAAGCUCCGGCUAAAUACGUG